AUGAAGAAAACAAAAGUCAUUACUGUAUCGGCGUCGACACGCCCUGCAGCGGCCGUGCUCGUCGUACAGAGGCCCAAGCCGGCCGUGCGGCCUCCGCAAGCGCCAGACUGCCGCCGCCCCCUCGUGGAGGAGCGCUCGCUGCAACGGCCUUCGCCGCAGCCGCCACACGCCGCUAUCGCUGUAUUAUUAGUAUCACCGCCGCCGCAUCGCGCCUCUCGGCAGCACCCAGCGGGUUACCUUUGCCCUUUCCACGGAACGCGCCCAACCUGUUCGGCGAUUUGCCUAGGAAAGGACUGGCGCUUGAGAUGCUUGCAAGAAGUUGCACCUGAGGCUCAGCACCACCGCUCGCUCACGUUCUACGAUGGCGAGCUGAUUCUCCGGCGUGAUGCUCUCCGGCUUAAUCUGGUUGAUGCCCGCGGAGUCAUUGUGGAUGCGCGUUUUCUCCGCGCAGGGGAAUUCGUUGACAUUGGAGAUAUUAUCUCGCUGCCUUGCCAUUUUGCGAGGAUUCGGGAGCGAUCUCCGGCGGUGAGCGCGCCUCCAGCGGGUGCGACGCAUGGCACGAUCCAGGGUGCGGUACACGGGAGGCACUCGGAGAUCCAGGCGGGCGCGGACCGGGUCGGGGUGGCCCCGCACCUCACCAACCACCCGCUAAUGGCGGCGGGACGCGUGGGAGCUCCUUCACGGCAGCCUGACCGACAGGAGGGGCCCAACACCAGGCCAGGCGUGGAGCCUUCUAGAGCGGAGGGGGCGAAGGGAACAACCUCAUUUUCCCCACCUACCUCCACUACGCGAGACGCACAUCUCGCCCCUCUCUUCAAGCAUCUAUGGGAGCGUCCUAGGGUUUCCUUCCCCAAUCCUCCCCUCCCUGAUUCCUUUGGCUGGUGGCGGGGCAAGGCGGGCGGCGACGACUGA
rnacentral:rRNA from 1 species